AAUCUCAACCCCUCCAGGUUUCUGAUCUGGGCGCGGCUUGGACUUGGACGUGUGCCAGCAAUGGCUCGUCUCAAAAGGAUUAGUGGGGAUCUCGGCAUCCACGGCAGACGUAAUAAGUUUCGUCUAGCCUCUUGUCGUAGGCCCGCUCACAACCCGCCAUCGUGCACCUUUUGACU
rnacentral:misc_RNA from 1 species